rnacentral:rRNA from 1 species
GUUAAGCGACUAAGCGUACACGGUGGAUGCCCUGGCAGUCAGAGGCGAUGAAGGACGUGCUAAUCUGCGAUAAGCGUCGGUAAGGUGAUAUGAACCGUUAUAACCGGCGAUUUCCGAAUGGGGAAACCCAGUGUGAUUCGUCACACUAUCAUUAACUGAAUCCAUAGGUUAAUGAGGCGAACCGGGGGAACUGAAACAUCUAAGUACCCCGAGGAAAAGAAAUCAACCGAGAUUCCCCCAGUAGCGGCGAGCGAACGGGGAGCAGCCCAGAGCCUGAAUCAGUGUGUGUGUUAGUGGAAGCGUCUGGAAAGGCGCGCGAUACAGGGUGACAGCCCCGUACACAAAAAUGCACAUGCUGUGAGCUCGAUGAGUAGGGCGGGACACGUGGUAUCCUGUCUGAAUAUGGGGGGACCAUCCUCCAAGGCUAAAUACUCCUGACUGACCGAUAGUGAACCAGUACCGUGAGGGAAAGGCGAAAAGAACCCCGGCGAGGGGAGUGAAAAAGAACCUGAAACCGUGUACGUACAAGCAGUGGGAGCACGCUUAGGCGUGUGACUGCGUACCUUUUGUAUAAUGGGUCAGCGACUUAUAUUCUGUAGCAAGGUUAACCGAAUAGGGGAGCCGAAGGGAAACCGAGUCUUAACUGGGCGUUAAGUUGCAGGGUAUAGACCCGAAACCCGGUGAUCUAGCCAUGGGCAGGUUGAAGGUUGGGUAACACUAACUGGAGGACCGAACCGACUAAUGUUGAAAAAUUAGCGGAUGACUUGUGGCUGGGGGUGAAAGGCCAAUCAAACCGGGAGAUAGCUGGUUCUCCCCGAAAGCUAUUUAGGUAGCGCCUCGUGAAUUCAUCUCCGGGGGUAGAGCACUGUUUCGGCAAGGGGGUCAUCCCGACUUACCAACCCGAUGCAAACUGCGAAUACCGGAGAAUGUUAUCACGGGAGACACACGGCGGGUGCUAACGUCCGUCGUGAAGAGGGAAACAACCCAGACCGCCAGCUAAGGUCCCAAAGUCAUGGUUAAGUGGGAAACGAUGUGGGAAGGCCCAGACAGCCAGGAUGUUGGCUUAGAAGCAGCCAUCAUUUAAAGAAAGCGUAAUAGCUCACUGGUCGAGUCGGCCUGCGCGGAAGAUGUAACGGGGCUAAACCAUGCACCGAAGCUGCGGCAGCGACGCUGAUGCGUUGUUGGGUAGGGGAGCGUUCUGUAAGCCUGUGAAGGUGUGCUGUGAGGCAUGCUGGAGGUAUCAGAAGUGCGAAUGCUGACAUAAGUAACGAUAAAGCGGGUGAAAAGCCCGCUCGCCGGAAGACCAAGGGUUCCUGUCCAACGUUAAUCGGGGCAGGGUGAGUCGACCCCUAAGGCGAGGCCGAAAGGCGUAGUCGAUGGGAAACAGGUUAAUAUUCCUGUACUUGGUGUUACUGCGAAGGGGGGACGGAGAAGGCUAUGUUGGCCGGGCGACGGUUGUCCCGGUUUAAGCGUGUAGGCUGGUUUUCCAGGCAAAUCCGGAAAAUCAAGGCUGAGGCGUGAUGACGAGGCACUACGGUGCUGAAGCAACAAAUGCCCUGCUUCCAGGAAAAGCCUCUAAGCAUCAGGUAACAUCAAAUCGUACCCCAAACCGACACAGGUGGUCAGGUAGAGAAUACCAAGGCGCUUGAGAGAACUCGGGUGAAGGAACUAGGCAAAAUGGUGCCGUAACUUCGGGAGAAGGCACGCUGAUAUGUAGGUGAAGUCCCUCGCGGAUGGAGCUGAAAUCAGUCGAAGAUACCAGCUGGCUGCAACUGUUUAUUAAAAACACAGCACUGUGCAAACACGAAAGUGGACGUAUACGGUGUGACGCCUGCCCGGUGCCGGAAGGUUAAUUGAUGGGGUCAGCGCAAGCGAAGCUCUUGAUCGAAGCCCCGGUAAACGGCGGCCGUAACUAUAACGGUCCUAAGGUAGCGAAAUUCCUUGUCGGGUAAGUUCCGACCUGCACGAAUGGCGUAAUGAUGGCCAGGCUGUCUCCACCCGAGACUCAGUGAAAUUGAACUCGCUGUGAAGAUGCAGUGUACCCGCGGCAAGACGGAAAGACCCCGUGAACCUUUACUAUAGCUUGACACUGAACAUUGAGCCUUGAUGUGUAGGAUAGGUGGGAGGCUUUGAAGUGUGGACGCCAGUCUGCAUGGAGCCGGCCUUGAAAUACCACCCUUUAAUGUUUGAUGUUCUAACGUUGACCCGUGAUCCGGGUUGCGGACAGUGUCUGGUGGGUAGUUUGACUGGGGCGGUCUCCUCCUAAAGAGUAACGGAGGAGCACGAAGGUUGGCUAAUCCUGGUCGGACAUCAGGAGGUUAGUGCAAUGGCAUAAGCCAGCUUGACUGCGAGCGUGACGGCGCGAGCAGGUGCGAAAGCAGGUCAUAGUGAUCCGGUGGUUCUGAAUGGAAGGGCCAUCGCUCAACGGAUAAAAGGUACUCCGGGGAUAACAGGCUGAUACCGCCCAAGAGUUCAUAUCGACGGCGGUGUUUGGCACCUCGAUGUCGGCUCAUCACAUCCUGGGGCUGAAGUAGGUCCCAAGGGUAUGGCUGUUCGCCAUUUAAAGUGGUACGCGAGCUGGGUUUAGAACGUCGUGAGACAGUUCGGUCCCUAUCUGCCGUGGGCGCUGGAGAACUGAGGGGGGCUGCUCCUAGUACGAG